GACGAACGCUGGCGGCGUGCUUAACACAUGCAAGUCGAACGGAAAGGCCCUGCUUUUGUGGGGUGCUCGAGUGGCGAACGGGUGAGUAACACGUGAGUAACCUGCCCUUGACUUUGGGAUAACUUCAGGAAACUGGGGCUAAUACCGGAUAGGAGCUCCUGCUGCAUGGUGGGGGUUGGAAAGUUUCGGCGGUUGGGGAUGGACUCGCGGCUUAUCAGCUUGUUGGUGGGGUAGUGGCUUACCAAGGCUUUGACGGGUAGCCGGCCUGAGAGGGUGACCGGGCACAUUGGGACUGAGAUACGGCCCAGACUCCUACGGGAGGCAGCAGUGGGGAAUAUUGCACAAUGGGCGGAAGCCUGAGGCAGCAACGCCGCGUGCGGGAUGACGGCCUUCGGGUUGUAAACCGCUGCCGCCUGUGACGAAGCGUGAGUGACGGUAAUGGGUAAAGAAGCACCGGCUAACUACGUG
rnacentral:rRNA from 1 species